UACAGGGGGGGCAAGCGUUGUUCGGAAUUACUGGGCGUAAAGGGCUCGUAGGCGGCCAACUAAGUCCGACGUGAAAUCCCAAAGCUUAACUUUGGAACUGCGUCGGAUACUGGAUGGCUUGAAUUCGGGAGAGGGAUGCAGAAUUCCAGGUGUAGCGGUGAAAUGCGCAGAUAUCAGGAGGAACACCGGUGGCGAAGGCGGAUCUCUGGGCCUUACCUGACGCUGAGGCGCGAAAGCUAGGGGAGCGAACAGG
rnacentral:rRNA from 1 species